GUGUGCCUUUUGUGGCACCAGCCUUGGCCUUGGGCUAGGGACUUGGGCAACAAAUCGGUACGGUAAGGAACAGAAUGAAUGGCUGCUUCCUGACAGUGUCCCAGGCCAGGAGAGUCUCCCACACUCUAGUCUCACAUGGCCAGUGUUUACCUCUUAGAGCCGAAUGACCUUUCUGCUGCAGAUUCCCCCACUAGGGAAACACUACUCCCAACGCUGGGCCCAGGAGGAUCUGCUAGAGGAGCAGAAGGAUGGGGCUCGAGCAGCAGCUGUGGCUGACAAGAAGAAAGGCCUCAUAGGACCGCUGACAGAACUGGACACAAAAGGUAAGCCUCAGCCUCCUGUCCACCCCAGGCCUGGAUCUGAGUUCCCAGGACUUCAGGCCUCCUGCUGUUCUCCCUGUCCACUGCAGAUGUGGAUGCCCUGCUGAAGAAGUCUGAGGCCCAGCAUGAACAGCCAGAAGACGGGUGUCCCUUUGGUGCCCUGACACAGCGCCUGCUGCAGGCCCUAGUGGAGGAAAAUAUUAUUUCCCCUAUGGAGGACUCUCCGAUACCUGACAUGUCUGGGAAAGAAUCAGGGGCUGAUGGAGCAAGCACCUCCCCCCGCAAUCAGAACAAACCUUUCAG
rnacentral:lncRNA from 1 species